ACGCGAGAUGGCGUUGAUUAAAAUUUUUCAAUCGUCUCCUAAUUUAUCGACAAUUUUAUUUGUUAUAAGUUUAUAGGAUCAAAUGAUUAUACCCUUAUAUACUUACGUGGAUUAAUUAUAAUUUAAAAACUAUUUAAAUGGGAUUGUAUUAUGGCAUAACGAGAUAUAAUAAACAAAAAGACAUUCUCACGAAUAUUGAUAUAUUUGUUAAAUAUAAUUACAUGAAUGAAGAUUUGGAAGAUUAGUUGCUACAAUAAAGAUAAUGGAUGGACGGAAAAUGUAAAAUGUCCAGUUUUUAAAUAAACUCCUGUUAAAUUGAUGAUUUUUAUCGAAAUAAUGGUUCUUAACAUACGUUUAAUAAGAUAGGAGUAAGAUAGCUUUGAUCGAUUAUCUAUUAAUUAAUAACAUUUACAAUAUAAUUAAUAUUGGAAAACGUUAGAAUUACAAAUCAUUCUAAUUUAAAAAUAUUUAUAGAUUUAAUAAGUAUAAAUUUAUUAAAUAUAUGUGGAUCUCGAUUUCUAGGCCGAUGAAAUUGGAAAUUCGGCCGAUAAUAUUAAAGUGUAACUUACGAGCGAGAAAACCAUGGAACUGAUUGUAAAUGGAAACUCGAAUUCAAAUGGUGUACGUGCUCGUUCUCGUCCAUAGUGUAAUAGUCCAUUGAAUGGCUGAAGUAUUGUUUGUAAUUUCACUUUACAGCAUGUUUCAUGCAACCAUUCAGGUAUUCUAUCAAUGAAUUUCUGGAAUUAAUAAAUAUUCUUGAAAAUGAAAUAGAAACAGAUGUAAAGGCUCAAAUUCAAACAAUUUGUACAAAAUCUGAUCAUUGAAUGCUAGAAAAAGAAACGAAUGUAAUUUUUAAUAUCGAUUUAUUAUUUGCAGCUUACUUUCCAUUACAUCUAUUACAUUCUGUUAAUCUAAUAUACGUGGAAUCUAAUAGUCUCAUCUAUGAAAAUUUCGAUGUCAUAUUUGAUAGAUGACUUAUACGAAUAAAAUAAGCCAAUUAUGAUGAGACAAAUAAUAUAAUUUUAUGAAUAAACAGUACGUAUAAAUAUUUGUUAAAAAAUCUUUCAUAUAUAGAUUGACGUAAAUAUUGAACAUAAAAAAAAUUAUCUUUAUAAAAUAUCUAUUGCAAAAAAUGUAAUAAGAAAUUAAAUUGAACUUUAUAAUAGAAUUUAUGAUACAAUUAUAUCUUCAAAUAGAAAAAAAAAGCAGAGAAACAUAUUACGAUUAUUAUAAUACUAUAAAUUUUUAUUAUUACGAUUUUUAAUUUUCUUUAUAAAAAUAAUUACCACUACAUACGCGAA